GAUGAACGCUGGCGGCGUGCCUAAUACAUGCAGGUCGAGCGAACAGACGAGGAGCUUGCUCCUCUGACGUUAGCGGCGGACGGGUGAGUAACACGUGGAUAACCUACCUAUAAGACUGGGAUAACUUCGGGAAACCGGAGCUAAUACCGGAUAAUAUAUUGAACCGCAUGGUUCAAUAGUGAAAGACGGUUUUGCUGUCACUUAUAGAUGGAUCCGCGCCGCAUUAGCUAGUUGGUAAGGUAACGGCUUACCAAGGCAACGAUGCGUAGCCGACCUGAGAGGGUGAUCGGCCACACUGGAACUGAGACACGGUCCAGACUCCUACGGGAGGCAGCAGUAGGGAAUCUUCCGCAAUGGGCGAAAGCUUGACGGAGCAACGCCGCGUGAGUGAUGAAGGUCUUCGGAUCGUAAAACUCUGUUAUUAGGGAAGAACAAAUGUGUAAGUAAAUAUGCACGUCUUGACGGUACCUAAUCAGAAAGCCACGGCUAACUACGUG
rnacentral:rRNA from 1 species